UACCACACAAUGAUUUUUCUUUGGAAUGCAGAAUGGAUCAGUACUGACAGUCAUAACUAAAACAGAACACCUGGCAAGAAUUCUAUUCAAGAAUUUGAUUUCCUCCUACAAUUCCUGAGAAUUGUGAAUGCCUGGAGAGUUGAUACUAUUCAUAGUUAGUAACCAUAUUUUGGUGUUUAUUUUCAAAAGUGAAUUUAUCCUUCAAUUUUCCCUGUCUACUAAUGAUAAAGUAUAUUUAUUAGAACUUCUUCAAUAUUACCUGGUAAUAUUGAAGCUUGGGUAAUUAGUUGUUUUUAUAGUCCUUUACACUUAAGCAUUCCCAAUUUAUGCCAAAUGAUAGGAAUAAACAUAUCCCAAAGUCAUAAAAAAAUAAGAAAAACCAGCCACUGAGAGAAUAAAUGGGUGCAUAAAUGCUGAUUUUUAUCAUUUGUGAAAAAAAAAGCAUGAGGUUUCUCAGCAAGGUGAAAGCUAUUUAGGAAGGUUUUUAAAAAUUGACUAAGAGGAAAAUGAGAAUUUCAUUUCAGACUUUCAUAUUAGAGACAAAGGCAAUAUCAAGGGAUUUAAACUUAUAAAUACCUUUAUUCUCAUCUGGAAACAUCUACUAUAUUUUUCAAGCAUGGUUUCCUUUCAAAUAAAACUAAAUAGAACUCAUUUUUUUCAUCACAAGUUCACUUUUCAGUGUGUAUACACUAAGCAGAUAUGAGAAAAUGGUCUCAAUUGCUGAGGAGGAUGAAUUACAGAGUAAUUACUGCAAUGAUGUUUGUCUAUUUUCCAUCAAAGCCAUAAAGACAAGAUAAAUAGGUGAAGGAAAUGGAUACCAGCAACUUGCCUAGGCUCCCUAGGGCUUCCUAGCAACAUGUGGACCAUAAGGCCAGAGGCCACUCAGAAUCUGUAUACAGUGUUGAGAAAUAAUAAGCACCGAUUAAAAAAAAAAGAUUAAAGGAGCCAUAGAGGAGCUCUGCUUUCAGCAGCGACCUAUCUGCCUGUCUGCUAUAUUAAAAUGCACACACAGUAGAGGGUCCAAAUGGUACCUAGUGUUUCUUCAAGAAAAUCAUGAAUGAGUUUGGAGAUCAACAGGUGAAGAAACUGAAGAACAGAGCCUAAGUAUCUUGCUGUCACACAUGAGAAGUGAUGUAAUAAGAACUGGAACCUAGGCUCUGUGCUCUUUGCCACCACUCAACUCUUAACCUCUAUUCCUACUUAAAACAAAUAAAAACUUUGACUAACUUAAAGGAGACUAACACUUUUGAUGACAUCAGAAUACUGUUAGCAUGUGCUAGUGACAUUUUUAAAAAUAACCUUGGUGAGUAGCACCAUGACCUUUUGCUCUUGAUACCAAGAGGUAAAUUAUGCACUUUAUUUCAUUACAUUACAUGAGGGUAUUAAUAAAAUAUGCUUGUGUGAAUGCAAUAAUUACCAUAAUAAAUAAUUACUGAGUCUUUGCCCUGGGCUAGGCAGUAUUCCAAGUACUUAUUAUAAAACAAGUGAUUUAACUCUCAAAACAUUCCUAAGAGGUAGAUGCUAUUAUCUUCAUUUUAGGGGUAGAGAAACUAAGGUAGAAAACUAAGGCAGAAAGAAGUUAAGAAACAUAACCAAGGUCACACUGUUAAUAAAUUGUUGGGGCCAGUGUGGUACCAGAGUUCAUUCUCUUACUACGUUCCUACACUGGUUUUCUUUAAAACAAUCUGAUUUCCAAAGUGCAGGUAUUUUAAGUAUUCUGCAGUAGUGACGCUCAAUCUGACUACACACCAGAAUUUUUCUGGAGAGACUAAAAACAGACUAUUGGACAUGCUGGUUUGGAGUGAGGCUUGAGAAUUCUCCUUCCUAGUCAGUUACUGGCAGUGCUGAUUCUAUUGACCCAGGGACCACAGUUUGACCACUGCUAUAUGAUGUGGAAGUUCAAGGAUCCAACUGAACAGGCAAACCUGACAUACAGUGAAAUAAAUGAUGAAAUGUCCACCAGCUAAUGGUAGAGAGGGGCUCAUUGUAUUAGCCAUAUGCAAGAUUAUAUUCAAAUAAAAUGCAUGGGAUGUACUUAUGCUGAAAAUCAUUCAUUACUUAUAUGCAAUCUAAACUUAAUAGUGUUCUGUAAUUUA